GAUUACUUGCAGUUCUUGCCCCUGGGAAGAUUUGCCAUUCAGAGACAACAGCUGGCAAGUUUGACAGAGGAAAUGCCAACUUUACAUGGAAGCAAUAGAAACAGGAGAACGUCUGGCAAACGAAAUAUCUGGAGGAAUAUUUAAACAACUUGCUAGAA